GAGUUCAGUUCUGUGAUAGCAAGAUCAAUAUUUUUAGGGUAUUCGACUGGUGGAACCCAAUUCAGACCA
rnacentral:ribozyme from 11 species